rnacentral:rRNA from 1 species
CCUACUGGUGGCAGCAGUGAGGAAUAUUGGUCAAUGGGCGCGAGCCUGAACCAGCCAAGUAGCGUGAAGGAUGACUGCCCUACGGGUUGUAAACUUCUUUUAUAAAGGAAUAAAGUGAGGCACGUGUGCCUUUUUGUAUGUACUUUAUGAAUAAGGAUCGGCUAACUCCGUGCCAGCAGCCGCGGUAAUACGGAGGAUCCGAGCGUUAUCCGGAUUUAUUGGGUUUAAAGGGAGCGUAGAUGGGUUGUUAAGUCAGUUGUGAAAGUUUGCGGCUCAACAGUAAAAUUGCAAUUGAUACUGGCAGUCUUGAGUAAAGGUGAAGUAGGCGGAAUGCGUGGUGUAGCGGUGAAAUGCAUAGAUAUCACGAAGAACUCCGAUUGCGAAGGCAGCUUACCAAACUUCCACUGACACUGAUGCACGAAAGUGUGGGUAUCAAACAGGAUUAGAUACCCGUGUAGUC